GGGGAGCAAAUGGGAUUAGAUACCCCAGUAGUCCACGCCGUAUACGAUGAGCAUUGGGCAUUUGACAUCUGGUCGAGUGCUGUAGCUAACGCGUUAAAUGCUCCGCCUGGGUAGUAUAUAUGCAAAUAUGAAACUCAAAGAAAUUGACGGGGACCUGAACAAGUGGUGGAGCAUGUUGCUUAAUUCGAUAAUACACGAAAAACCUUACCAAGGCUUGUAAUCUAUUGCGAAGCUAUAGAAAUAUAGUGGAGGUUAUCAGUAAGACAGGUGGUGCAUGGCUGUCGUCAGCUCGUGUCUUGAGAUGUUUGGUUAAGUCCCGUAACGAGCGCAACCCUACUCUCUAGUUACUUAGUUCUAGAGUGACUGAAUCGUAAGAUAUAGGAAGGAUGGGGCCAAGUCAAGUCAUCAUGCCCUUUAUGCCUUGGGCUGCAAACGUGCUACAAUGGUAGGUACAAUGUGUUGCAAACUAGCGAUAGUGAGCCAAUCACCUAAAGCCUAUCUCAGUCCGGAUAAAA
rnacentral:rRNA from 1 species